GUGUAACUUGCUACAAAAUACCUACUUUUCAAUUUUUGAUUGGCAUGAGUGAUAUUUCAAUGGAGCAUAUCUCUGUUAUCUACAUCUCUGUUAUAGGUUUAAAACAAGCAAACAUGAUAGGAUCAGUUGUUGUUUUAUAGACAUAACAUCUUUCCACAUUAUAUAGCACUAACCCGAGUUUACACUAUGCCAGUAAGGUGUUAUAAAUCUUCAUUAAUUUAGUUCAGUUAUAAUUUGCUUUUAUCUAUUAUAUUUUAAUUGUAAACACUUACUAAGCUUGACCCCGAAACUCGUUAGCUUUUGCCAUCGUGAGCUAAGCUCAUAAAUGCUGUUUGACCAGGAUCUUUACUGUUGGCUGAUCUGUUACACAAUUUUACAUGGAUUCCACCAAAGUGAUAAUUAGUUGUUCCGACUAUUGAAACUUUACACGAGUAUUUAAAGGCGUAUGCUAUGGUCAAAUGUCGAGAAAUAACAGAAUCCCCUCCCUCGUUUUAAAGUAACCUGCCUUUGAAUUAAAUUGAUGUUGGUUCCCUCCGUUCAUAAUACGGAAAAUUAACUUUACACAAACACCUUCCAAAACCUGCGUUUACUAUGCAAAGUGUUAAUGACUUGUUGUAUAAUUUACAAUAUGCUUUAUAACUUAUUGUUACGCUAGCAUACGUUUUUAAGGAUUUCGGCAGGAAAAGGGAUAAAUAAGACAUUUGCCCUCUUACAGAAAUACAUUACACGCUUAGAUUUAAAAUGUCUUGAUUUAUUCUAGCUUCGGGACUGGUUCGUUUUCAUUUUCGAGCCUCAUUAGUGGUAUAACAUCAUCUUUCAAUACACAAUUUGAUCUGGAACAGUUGACAGAGUUUGUGAACAGUAAACAGGACUUAGGAUCCGGUGCACGUGCUUUUGCUCAAGCUCUCGAGAAGACUAAGAGCAAUAUUAACUGGAUGAAUGCAAACGUCCCAGUGAUAGAGACUUGGCUUCAUGAUCAAGGCUAUUAAAAGUGUUGUCAACGAAGUAUAUAAGAUAUAAACACGUGUUGUAAAACAUCGACACCUAUGAGAUCAUCAAAAUCCAACAUCGUUACAUCUUACAUUGGUAUAAAAUGAUAACAUUUCACACAACAAACUAGUUUCAACUUCGAAAUUCAUCGAGUAAGAAAACACGAUGAUGAGUUGCUGAUUGCUGAUUGCUGCAAACAAACUUUUUCCUUUCUUUAAUACAUAUUUGAUCACCGUUGACAGCAUAUGGUAGUUUGAUCUUUUAUCAGUACGAGCGAUUACAGUUGAGGUUAUGCCACAAUCUCAAAUAAACAUUUCACCAUACAUUGCUUCGGUUGUUUUUUUUCUUUUUUUUUUCUUUUUUAAAUAUUUGAUGAUAUUUCAACAAGACAGUGGUAUAUCGGUAUAAAUUCUCGCUUUUAGCACUUCAGCAAGCUUUGAAUGAAAAUGAUUGCAGCAACAUUUGGCUAGUAAUUUUAUUAUCAAACUCUAUCAGCAUUACAUGCAAUUUUGUUAUUCAAUAACAUUUUUCAAUAAGUGAAAGCCAUAAAUGUUUUUAUUAUAAUUACUGUUGUUUUUUUUUUAAUACUACUUGUGUGUCAUGUAAUCAGAGUUCGAAAAUAUAAGUUGUGUUUUUUUUGUGUGCGUACCCUAUUUUUCACAGUUUAGAUGAUUUUAUUUCUGUUUUUAUGUCUAUACGUUUUUAAAAAGAACAAAGCAUUAAACAUUGACUAUGUUAUCGAUUGAUUUUCUGUAGAUAGUAUUGAAAAGAUAAGAAUACUAAGGCUGUCCUACUGGGCUCCUUGCCAAUGGUCCUGUGUUGUUGGGUCGUGUGAGGGUUGCUUUUAUUGAACGGCGCCCAUCGUUUCUGAUUUUGUUUUUCAUAUUAAUUUGGAAUAGAAUAUUUUUAAAAAAAGUUAUCAGUGGUAUUUUGAUGACCUGAAACCAAUCCGGGUGAAAUAGUGUAAACAUUCAAAAGUAGUUCAAAGAAUUGUAUGUAUUUAUGUGCAUGUAUCAGCGUCUUUUAAUAAUUGUAAUUCGUCAUCAGUUAUAUUAUGUUAAAUAAAGUAAAACACGCUACUAUAACAAUUUGAAUUCACUGCUUUUUAUUUAUUUUUUAUUGGAAAUAAUUUAUUUGAUAAGAAUAUGACCAAAAAAUAUACAUCUAUUUAUUUUAUAUCUGAUUUCGGUUUACGUUCUGGUAAAGGCGGUGUCAGUGGCCCUGGACGUGUUUCAUAUUUUGCAAUUAGAUUGUACUUAAAAGACUAUUAUCUUUUAUAAAGAAUCUCGCUCAAACGUUAAAUAUUCAUUUUGUGUCAGGGAUUCUUUUGAAUCAGAACGAACUUUGCCAUAACGAUAUAAAAGCAAAUAAGGAACAAAUGAAAAGAAUAGUUUUAUUAUAAUAUUUAAAUUUGAUUUAUCUAAAAUAUACAAACAUUUAUACAAGAAAAUAUUUACUUGAACUUAUAAGAAAUAGUAAAUUAUGAGACACAAUUGAAUGAAUAGUAUCUGUGCAACUUUUAAGAGCCCAUUAUGCCUAAGAAAUACAUAACUUUAUUUCUCAAAAUCCUUCUGAAUUUUGGUAUCUCUAUUGGUUAUUCGUAUAAUUAAACUGAAUUAGUUUUUUUUUAUAAAAGUCAAAAUACUUCCUCGUUUAGUUGUUGCUCCUCGAACUACACGUUAGUGCACAUUCAGUACUACUUUCUCCAGUUGUUAAACAUCUAAGAUGCUCUUAAACUCUAGAUUCAUAAUUAAAACAUUGUUUAACACGCGUUUGACGUUUCUAAAGAAUUUAAAAGAAAUGGAUUUCUUAGGCAUAACGUGCUAUUAUAUGAUUUUCUUAUAUAUAAAACAGCUGAAAUCGUAAGGAACAUUCUUUUUGCUUUUGACAUAAAAUAACGGACCACCUAACAAAAUAUUGUUGUCGCAUACUUGGUCCAAGACACAUGCUGUUUGUACCAUGUUCAUCAGUGUGUGAACAUGUACUUUUUGUUGACCUCUGUAAUUGGUAUCAAUAAACUAGCACUAGACUUUAAUCGAUCUAGCGUAACACUUUAACAAUCUUGUUGUUACAUGGAAUACAUUUACUCCAUGAUAGAGUUUGUCCCAGUUAAUUUUGGGGUCCAAACAAACUUUAACAGUUACAACCUCGAAAUAAAGUACAACAUGUUGACUUAUCUAUAGUGACCGGAAGUGCACUGUGAAGCCAUAACGGUUAAAGUUUGUUUGUACCCCAGAUUAGCUUGGAAAACCCCCAACGUAUUCUUUAGUGUUGUUGUUUAGCAAAUAUGCCAGUAAAUGCUGAUAGCAAUAUAUGCUGAUAGCAAUUAUAUUAUUCUUAUUUUUAUCACUUCGCUUUUCGCUCGAUCGUUUGUCAAUUGAACGCUUACAUAAGACCAACAUAGAUGGUAGUUGGUAGUCCGUUAUAUUAUGUUCCGAUUAAAACUGACUUCAUAUUUUAAUUAUUCAUAAAAUAUCAUACAUUUGCAAUAUUUUGAUUGUUUCUAAAUUAAACCUAAUAUACUUGAUCCAUUUUUUAUAUGAUAAAAAGAUAUUUGUUGAUAGAAUAAUGUAUAUAAUUAUAUUAGAAUAAAUUUCAUAAAAUAU